CUGUUAUAUUAUGUUACGACUUUAGUUCGAGCGAGUAUUCUGACGAAAAAUGAAGUGCUUCUUGAGCAAACUAUUCUGCUUUCUUGUGUUGUGCAUCGUGGUAACGAUGAGUGUAGGAAAUCCAAUGCUUCCGAUGAAAGAACAGCGUAAAGUAGCUUGUAGACGAACAACAACGGCUGCACCUGUAUAAAUGGGUAGAGAACGAUGAAAUAAGUUAUGGCGAUGGGUUG